GUGCCUACUGAACUGAUAUCAGUGAGUUAUGAAAGUGCUGGCUCAGUUCAGCAGGAACUG
rnacentral:pre_miRNA from 1 species